rnacentral:rRNA from 1 species
UACGAGGGGAGCAAGCGUUGUUCGGAUUUACUGGGCGUAAAGGGCGCGUAGGCGGCGUGACAAGUCACUUGUGAAAUCUCCGGGCUUAACUCGGAACGGUCAAGUGAUACUGUCGUGCUAGAGUACAGAAGGGGCAACUGGAAUUCUCGGUGUAGCGGUGAAAUGCGUAGAUAUCGAGAGGAACACCUGCGGCGAAGGCGGUUCUCUGGGCCUUACCUGACGCUGAGGAGCGAAAGCGUGGGGAGCGAACAGG